GUCCCCCUAGAGGAUGGGAAUCGGGCCUCAGUUUGACACGGACUGAACUAGGCUAGACUGAUGUACCUUUCAUGCAUUUGGACCAUCUGAUAAAAAAGCAGAACUUGUUUAAGCUGAAGAGAUCCCCUAAUGGCGUCGGUGACACCCACCACAAAGAGCUCCCUCCAGAUGGCAGCCCAUUCUCGUAAUGUGGUGGUGACCUCGUGGACCAGGGGCUGCUCGAUGGGGAUGACUGUCUCCUUCUGCCUGUGGGGAGAUGUUUCGCACUGAUUGCCCUGGUGUCCGUCUCACGCUUCCAUCAAACAGGCAGUGGGGAUAUCAGGUGACUAGGCUCAGAGACAGGACUGAGGGGGUACGGACCAGAAAGAUGCACAGCAUGAGGACUAUGACAGAGUACGACAAUCUGACACCUUGAAGAAAAUAAAAAAAAA